GAGGAUGUGAAUGAAGAAUGUCUGCUAGAGCAGAGGAACUGAAAUUGACAAGGCGAAUGGGGACCCCGGGAUGAGUCUGCUGGCAGCGGAUAUAAGUCUGUAAAAUCGGAUGGACUGCCAAUCGGAGAAUGAAAGCUACCCAGCCUGGCCUUACAUUCUUUCACUUAAUACAUAAACAAGAAGGGGGAAAUGUUGGGAGCCAAAAAGGCCAAAGGGAUGGUGACCAACUCAGCAUUCCACUGGAGGCUACAUGAUCAAACAGCAAACUGUUUAUCAUGAAUACAGAAUGUGGGCAAACUCGCUUCUGUGCCUGCCCAGAAGGUUUGCUGAGGGCCAUCGCUCCCUGGCCCCGGCUCCUUGAGGUUAUCUACUGGGACAUCUAGAGCCUAUUGUUCGAGGAAUGCAGUCUUGCAAGCCUACUCUGGACCGAGCAGCUGACCUCUUCUUCCA
rnacentral:lncRNA from 10 species